UUGAAAUAAAACUUGGUUGGGUUGCUGCUGGCUCUCAGGAGCAUGUGCACACUCGGUCCAUUUUUUUAAACCACCUGUGCACACAUUGUAGGGCCUGAAUGAACUUUGUCGAGGGUAACUCGGUUUGAGAACUUGCCUUUGGCUGUUCUUGUGUUCUCAGGUUCUAUGUUUUAAAUCAUAUACUCUAUAACAAGUAAUAGAAUGUCAAUUAUGGGCCUUCUGUGCCUUUAAAACCUAAUACAACUUUCAACAACGGAUCUCUUGGCUCUCGCAUCGAUGAAGAACGCAGCGAAAUGCGAUAAGUAAUGUGAAUUGCAGAAUUCAGUGAAUCAUCGAAUCUUUGAACGCACCUUGCGCUCCUUGGUAUUCCGAGGAGCAUGCCUGUUUGAGUGUCAUGAAAUUCUCAACCUUUCUGGCUUUUUAUUGAGCUGGUCAGGAUUGGACUGUGGGAGUUGCUGGCUUCUUUUGAGAGGAUCAGCUCUUCUUAAAUGCAUUAGCGAAAUUUCUUGGCUUUGAUUAUCUUUGGUAUGAUAAGUUAUCUACACCAUCGAGAAAAUAGCUUUUUCCACUUCUUUCAAGGUUUUCAGGCUCCACUUGGAGAUUUAUAAUCCUCAAGUGUUCGACUCAACCGUUCUGAAGCACUAGCUUUUGGCACAGAUGUUAAUUCAUCUGAUGGUGUUGAAUAUUUCAGGUUGACGAAGCGAGGCGUUUUUCGGAACGCUCACGAGAGCAAGCAGCAUCAGAAAGCUUUAUUGCAUAUGAUGUGUGCACUGUCAUAUUCCUGUACCUACCCUAGCUACUAUGUGGCUUUGAUGGGUCUGGUCAAACCAUGACCUGAACAUAUCCUUUUAGUGGAAGGACUUUUUGCUUCUAAUACAUAUUGUUCCUGUKGGCAAUGCCUUUUGACAAU
rnacentral:misc_RNA from 1 species